ensembl:rRNA 5S_rRNA 5S ribosomal RNA
GUCUACGACCAUACCAUCCUGAAUGCGCCAGAUCUCAUCUAAUCUAGGAAGCUAAGCAGGGUCGGGCCUGACUAGCACUUGAAUGGGAAAAAUUAGAGUCUGGGUAAAAAGGUAGAUA